rnacentral:lncRNA from 1 species
AUGUCUCUCUGCCGGGCCACCUCGCUGGCGCUGGCCUCCUGCCUGAGCAGGACUCCCGCCGCCGCCAGCCGCCUCAAGCAGCGUGCGCCUCCUCGCCAGAUGUCAUCUGGGAGUGUUCCUGGCUCUUCUGGAGACAGGAUGAUGAUCUAUCUCCUUGCUGGUGUUGCAGCUUUUGGUGGUUUAUUUUAUGCCUACAGAGUAGUCAAUUCAUCCCAGAGCAAGUUUAUCAAACAUACAAAUAUUCUUCAUGAGAGAGCAGAGGGGCAGAAGAACAAUCCUUGGUCAAGGAAGGACACAAGGGAAAUCUCUUUCCAAACCUGUGGGAGUUAAAUACAAACAAAGGACAGUCGUUCACCAUUGAGUACAUUGCAGCCUACCUUGGGAUGACUUUAUACCUUCUAUUGUAGAACUCCAUUUGU